rnacentral:tRNA from 1 species
GGCCUGGUGGUGAAGUGGUAACACUGCAGUCUGCAAAGCUGUAACUCGUUGGUUCAAUUCCAGCCCAGGCCU